GAUGAACGCUGGCGGUAUGCUUAACACAUGCAAGUCGUACGAGAGUUUUUAACUCUAGUAGCGGACGGGUGAGUAACACGUGAGAAUCUACACUAAGGAGGGGAAUAACAGCUGGAAACGGUUGCUAAUACCCCAUACGCCGAAAGGUGAAAGGAUAUAUCCACAUUAGGAAGAGCUCGCGCCUGAUUAGCUAGUUGGUGAGGUAACGGCUCACCAAGGCAAUGAUCAGUAGCUGGUUUGAGAGGACGAUCAGCCACACUGUGACUGAGACACGGCCCAGACUCCUACGGGAGGAAGCAGUGGGUAAUUUUCCGCAAUGGGCGAAAGCCUGACGGAGCAAUACCGCGUGAGGGAUGAAAGCCUCUGGGUUGUAAACCUCUUUUCUCAAGGAAGAAGUUCUGACGGUACUUGAGGAAUAAGCAUCGGCUAACUCUGUGCCAGCAGCCGCAGUAA
rnacentral:rRNA from 1 species